rnacentral:tRNA from 1 species
AAGAAGAAUUGUUAGGGCUGCUAACCGUGACUUGGGUGUUCAUCCUCUUCUUU